UGUUACUCGAAUUUUAGGAUAAACACUUUGAUACCAAUUUCGCUGCUACUUUUGAUUUAUCCUUUAAUCGAAAUUAUCUGUACUGUACCUUCUCCUUCAAAAUUGGUUUUUAUGGAUCUCGUUGUUGUCUUUAUUGGGUUUCCCAGGGUUAUCAUUAUUGAAGUAUUUGCUUAAAUGUCUUCUUCGUACUUGGUUGGUAAAUGUUGCGUACUCUAUGCAUCUGUAUUUGAGGGUUUUGUUUUUCAAAUUUCUCAAUUUUAGUUCCAAGUUGCCUGUGGUGUGCGCUUUAUUUUGUUCAAUUUUGGUGAUUUCUUCUCUAUUCUUGCUUUCAUUAAAUAUAAUUUGUUAUUGCUACCAUGUUUUGGUGUGGUGGGUAUUGGCUACAGGCUACGUUCUUUUGGAUAUUAUGCUAUUGGAUUUUUACAUACAUGUGAGCAACUUUAUCCAAUUUGCACGAUAUUGUAUGGAUGGUAUUUGAUAAUAUACUUGUAUGAACUGGCUUUGCACUACAUGAAAAAAGCUAUUUGUAAUCUUUUCCUAUUUCUAAUAGUCAUGUGAAUGGUGAUUUAAUGAAGCAUCUCCAAAUUAUAUUUUCAGUUCUGCUUUGACUAAGCAUUUUUUUGUGAUACCAAGAACAUAACUUUUUUCGUUUGUCUUCAGGCUUAUUUCAGAAAAAGUUAUUUUCUUCUCAAAUCUAUGUGGGUAUCUCCCAAGAUUAGUUCUUUACGAGGUUUUAAGUUGUUUUAUUGAAGUAAAUGCCAAAAGGAACUCUUAAUUUGAGGUGUUUUCUUAAAAUGGCUCUAAUGUAUUUUUCUUCUAAAUUACAAAAGGAAUAAAGAAACUAAUGUUUUGUCUUUGUAAAUAAGAACAAGCUCUGCAUGAUUUACUAGGGUCAAAAUUUGUUAUUUGUACUUAUUUGGUAAAUUUUGUACAUAUAUACUGGAUUAGAAUGAACCCAUAUCAUAUAAACUACAUCUGCCAUCGCCCCUGCAAACAUCCUAUAUAUGCAAUUGCAGAGGAAAGAAAAUUAGAAACUUAGAGGAAAAAGACUUGCUCCUGAUUGAUAAACUAACAAAAAGAAAAUAUAAUGCACCUCACCCGGCACUUAAAAGGCACGACUGAGGAUAUUACCAUAAAAAUAAAAGUAUUAUGUGGAGAUAUCAUGUUCUAGAAGGCGAAUAUUUAGCUAAAGAUAGUCAUAGAAAGCCUCUUUUAUUAGUAUCAUCUUCCACAUAUUCUAUAAAUGGCCUUCUAUCCUAGGUAGAACUUAGAAGAGAAAUAUGCUUUAAGUGUUUGUUCCAUAUGUUGCAACUUCAAAUUUAUUCACCUUAAAUUGUUGCAAAAAUUAGUGAUUUGUGCUGAUUGUUGGUGGAAGACAGACCUAAAAGAGAGCUCCCUAACGUUUGUUGCUGAAGGUUUAUUGCAGAUUUGCUCUAUAUUAUGGUAGUUGGGUGUUCAGCAUAGAGUCGGGAAGCAACUGCCAAUUGACGGAAGGGAAAAACUCCUUUAAAGGGGUAUUGAAAGGUACAUGUACAUCUAGUGGCCUCGUUGGGCGCAGUGGCAUGGUUGACACGGAGACUUAGGUGAGCUGCAUCUCUCGAGACGACCCGCAGCCAGUAGUCUCUUUCAGAGUAUAGUAGUUCUUUUCUGUCCGAUUGUAUUCCGGACAGGUAUCGUAUUGUACUUUAUUUCCUAAAAAUUGCCCAUGCACUCGUAACACCGGGUUCUAGGAUGAUUAUGGAGUAUUUUAUAUUAACUUCUAGAUAUUUUUAUUUA